rnacentral:rRNA from 1 species
AGUGAACGCUGGCGGUAGGCCUAACACAUGCAAGUCGAACGGCAGCACAGUAAGAGCUUGCUCUUACGGGUGGCGAGUGGCGGACGGGUGAGGAAUACAUCGGAAUCUACUUUUUCGUGGGGGAUAACGUAGGGAAACUUACGCUAAUACCGCAUACGACCUACGGGUGAAAGCAGGGGAUCUUCGGACCUUGCGCGAUUGAAUGAGCCGAUGUCGGAUUAGCUAGUUGGCGGGGUAAAGGCCCACCAAGGCGACGAUCCGUAGGUGGUCUGAGAGGAUGGAGCAGCCACACUGAACCGAGGACACGUGCCACACCCUAAGGGGGGGAACAGGGGGGAAUAAUAGAACAAUGGGGGCAAGCCUAUUCCGCCAAAACGCCGGGGGUGAGAAGGGCCUCCGGGUUGUAAAGCCCUUUGUUGGGAAAGAAAAGCAGCAGGUUAAUACCCCGCUGUUCUGACGGUACCCAAAGAAUAAGCACCGGCUAACUUCGUG